rnacentral:rRNA from 1 species
UUGGAAAAUGGUUAAGUCUAGCCUGCUCACUGAUAAAAUUAUUAAAUAGCCGCGGUAUUUUGACCGUGCAAAGGUAGCAUAAUCAUUAGUUUUUUAAUUGAAAACUCGUAUGAAUGGUUGGACAAAGAAAAAGCUGUCUCUUGUGUUGUUAUUGAAUUUAACUUUUAAGUGAAAAGGCUUAGAUAUUCUAGAGGGACGAUAAGACCCUAUAAAGCUUUAUAAAUUUAAAGAUUUUGUAUAUUUUUAUAUAAAAAUAAAUUCUAAAAAGUUUAUUUGGUUGGGGCGACAAUGGUAUAAUUAAAAUAACUGCUAUUAAAUUCAACAAAUAUAUUUGUUUUAUAAAAAUAAUUGAUCCUUUGUAAGGAUUUUAAAAUCAAUUUACUUUAGGGAUAACACCGUUAUUUUUCCUGAAAGUUCUUAUCAAAGGAAAAGUUUGCAACCUCAAUGUUAAAUUAAAAUGUCUUUAUAGUGCACCACCUAUAAAAAAAGGUCGGUUCAACCUUUAAUAUUUUACAUGAUCUGAUUCAAACCGGGA